rnacentral:rRNA from 1 species
GAGUGAACGCUGGCGGUAGGCCUAACCCAUGCAAGUCGAACGGCAGCACAGUAAGAGCUUGCUCUUACGGGUGGCGAGUGGCGGACGGGUGAGGAAUACAUCGGAAUCUACUUUUUCGUGGGGGAUAACGUAGGGAAACUUACGCUAAUACCGCAUACGACCUACGGGUGAAAGCAGGGGAUCUUCGGACCUUGCGCGAUUGAAUGAGCCGAUGUCGGAUUAGCUAGUUGGCGGGGUAAAGGCCCACCAAGGCGACGAUCCGUAGCUGGUCUGAGAGGAUGAUCAGCCACACUGGAACUGAGGCACGGUCCAGACUCCUACGGGAGGCAGCAGUGGGGAAUAUUGGACAAUGGGCGCAAGCCUGAUCCAGCCAUACCGCGUGGGUGAAGAAGGCCUUCGGGUUGUAAAGCCCUUUUGUUGGGAAAGAAAAGCAGCAGGUUAAUACCCCGCUGUUCUGACGGUACCCAAAGAAUAAGCACCGGCUAACUUCGUG